UAGGGAAUCUUCCACAAUGGACGCAAGUCUGAUGGAGCAACGCCGCGUGAGUGAAGAAGGUCUUCGGAUCGUAAAGCUCUGUUGUUGGUGAAGAAGGAUAGAGGCAGUAACUGGUCUUUAUUUGACGGUAAUCAACCAGAAAGCCACGGCUAACUACGUGCCAGCAGCCGCGGUAAUACGUAGGUGGCAAGCGUUGUCCGGAUUUAUUGGGCGUAAAGCGAGCGCAGGCGGAAUGAUAAGUCUGAUGUGAAAGCCCACGGCUCAACCGUGGAACUGCAUCGGAAACUGUCAUUCUUGAGUGCAGAAGAGGAGAGUGGAACUCCAUGUGUAGCGGUGGAAUGCGUAGAUAUAUGGAAGAACACCAGUGGCGAAGGCGGCUCUCUGGUCUGCAACUGACGCUGAGGCUCGAAAGCAUGGGUAGCGAACAGGAUUAGAUACCCUGGUAGUCCAUGCCGUAAACGAUGAGCGCUAGGUGUUGGGGACUUUCCGGUCCUCAGUGCCGCAGCAAA
rnacentral:rRNA from 1 species